CUGAUUCCAUGUGGGGGUCACUCCUCUUCUUAUCUCCUCCUCUAAAAGCAUUGACAGAUGAAUUUAACAAGAGGGGCACUAUCUGCCUCGCCAAGAAUAGAACUGCUAAACUAUCUGCGGCCUUGCUUGUAUGGUUUCAGCAGUAUUGAUGAAUAUAUCACAGUGUGUUCAGUCAGAAGGAACCAAUCCUUUUUCUCUUCCUUUCCUUUUUUUUAAUGACUGAUUCAGUUAGAUGUCUUCCAAUGGAGCUGGGUGCGAUGACCCAAGAUUUUCUAGCAUCGGCCACAUGGAGAAACAGCAUGUUUAGUCUGUGAGGAAGAAGACAAGAAUGAUGCCAGCAUUCACCGGGGAUCUGGAACUGCAGGACUGUUGAAAGGAAGAACUCCCUCCAUGGCUGAUGUAAAUGAUGGUUGAAGAAGAGCCUGAGGUUUAGAAGUCUUACACAAAGCCUGGAGUAACAUAGCUUCCCUUUAUCGCACCUGAUGGGCAGAAUUUCUGGUGAAACCUUUCAAUUCAAUCAAACAGAAUAAAACAAACUAUCUUGA